AGAACAUCAUUUCCCACCUACCUUGUGGCUUGUCUUUUUAUUCCUGUAGUGGUGUCCUUUGAGGGUUUGGAUCACACUACCACUUAGGUCAGCUGAGGUGAUACCUGAGAGUGAGAAGAAUGUAAAUGGAAAAUGAAGAAGUGAGAACAUUUGUGACAAUAUGAUCCUAAGAUCAACACUGUUAUGGGGCUGUGGUUCAUGCCACUGACCUUCCUCUUUUGGAUUUUUCCUUAGGAAGAGAGGCCUGUGGACAUGGGAUAAGAGUUGGACUAAGGUAGCAAUGAGAUGUGCCUCACAGACCUCCAGCCACAGGGAGCGUGAGUAAUGAUGUUAAGGUUGUCACGAAACCAGCCACAUACUAAUGUCACAGAAGCACACCAUCAACAAUUCAAAAGUCCAAAUCACAGAAAUCUACCCUGAAGGAAGAAGCAGCACUUCUAAUUAGAAUAUAGUAUCUCAUCAAAAUAGGAUAAAAUUUAAAUGGACUCCAUGAAAAUCCCUUUUAAUUUGCGAUUAUAAAUUUCACCAAAAAAAGAAAUAGAAUUCUUAGAGAAUCAUUUGGAAAUUAAGAAAUUUGUCUAAGAUUUCUAGUUUUAAUAUUCACUGUGGUAGUAUUGGCACCAAUUUAGAAAU
rnacentral:lncRNA from 1 species